rnacentral:rRNA from 1 species
UGGAACUGAGACACGGUCCAGACUCCUACGGGAGGCAGCAGUGGGGAAUAUUGCACAAUGGGCGAAAGCCUGAUGCAGCCAUGCCGCGUGUAUGAAGAAGGCCUUCGGGUUGUAAAGUACUUUCAGUUGUGAGGAAGGGGGUGUCGUUAAUAGCGGCAUCUCUUGACGUUAGCAACAGAAGAAGCACCGGCUAACUCCGUGCCAGCAGCCGCGGUAAUACGGAGGGUGCGAGCGUUAAUCGGAAUUACUGGGCGUAAAGCGCAUGCAGGUGGUUCAUUAAGUCAGAUGUGAAAGCCCGGGGCUCAACCUCGGAACUGCAUUUGAAACUGGUGAACUAGAGUACUGUAGAGGGGGGUAGAAUUUCAGGUGUAGCGGUGAAAUGCGUAGAGAUCUGAAGGAAUACCAGUGGCGAAGGCGGCCCCCUGGACAGAUACUGACACUCAGAUGCGAAAGCGUGGGGAGCAAACAGGAUUAGAUACCCUGGUAGUCCACGCCGUAAACGAUGUCUACUUGGAGGUUGUGGCCUUGAGCCGUGGCUUUCGGAGCUAACGCGUUAAGUAGACCGCCUGGGGAGUACGGUCGCAAGAUUAAAACUCAAAUGAAUUGACGGGGGCCCGCACAAGCGGUGGAGCAUGUGGUUUAAUUCGAUGCAACGCGAAGAACCUUACCUACUCUUGACAUCCAGAGAAGCCAGCGGAGACGCAGGUGUGCCUUCGGGAGCUCUGAGACAGGUGCUGCAUGGCUGUCGUCAGCUCGUGUUGUGAAAUGUUGGGUUAAGUCCCGCAACGAGCGCAACCCUUAUCCUUGU